rnacentral:rRNA from 1 species
UGGCUGGUGUUCUAACGUGGGCCCGUGAACCGGGUUGCGGACAGUGUCUGGUGGGUAGUUUGACUGGGGCGGUCUCCUCCUAAAGAGUAACGGAGGAGCACGAAGGUUGGCUAAUCCUGGUCGGACAUCAGGAGGUUAGUGCAAUGGCAUAAGCCAGCUUGACUGCGAGCGUGACGGCGCGAGCAGGUGCGAAAGCAGGUCAUAGUGAUCCGGUGGUUCUGAAUGGAAGGGCCAUCGCUCAACGGAUAAAAGGUACUCCGGGGAUAACAGGCUGAUACCGCCCAAGAGUUCAUAUCGACGGCGGUGUUUGGCACCUCGAUGUCGGCUCAUCACAUCCUGGGGCUGAAGUAGGUCCCAAGGGUAUGGCUGUUCGCCAUUUAAAGUGGUACGCGAGCUGGGUUUAGAACGUCGUGAGACAGUUCGGUCCCUAUCUGCCGUGGGCGCUGGAAGAUUGAGGGGGGCUGCUCCUAGUACGAGAGGACCGGAGUGGACGCAUCACUGGUGUUCGGGUUGUCAUGCCAAUGGCACUGCCCGGUAGCUACAUGCGGAAGAGAUAAGUGCUGAAAG